rnacentral:rRNA from 1 species
GAUGAACGCUGGCGGCGUGCCUAAUACAUGCAAGUCGAGCGAACAGACGAGGAGCUUGCUCCUCUGACGUUAGCGGCGGACGGGUGAGUAACACGUGGAUAACCUACCUAUAAGACUGGGAUAACUUCGGGAAACCGGAGCUAAUACCGGAUAAUAUAUUGAACCGCAUGGUUCAAUAGUGAAAGACGGUUUUGCUGUCACUUAUAGAUGGAUCCGCGCCGCAUUAGCUAGUUGGUAAGGUAACGGCUUACCAAGGCAACGAUGCGUAGCCGACCUGAGAGGGUGAUCGGCCACACUGGAACUGAGACACGGUCCAGACUCCUACGGGAGGCAGCAGUAGGGAAUCUUCCGCAAUGGGCGAAAGCCUGACGGGCAACGCCGCGUGAGUGAUGAAGGUCUUCGGAUCGUAAAACUCUGUUAUUAUGGAAGAACAAAUGUGUAAGUAACUAUGCACGUCUUGACGGUACCUAAUCAGAAAGCCACGGCUAACUACGUG